AAGCAGUGGGUGUCCCUCUCAGCUAUGCGGGGCAGAAGCAAAAGACAAGAUGAAUGAGCUGCUCUGUGUGUUUGCAUGACAGAAUAUUUUGCAGCCUCCCUGGAUAAACAAGCUGUCAUCCACCACCCAACCCUCUGUCAACUGAAGCAGCUUGGGGAAAAGAUAAUGCUGCGGGUUUGGACUCUCUCCUAGGCUGCCAGUGCCCUAAUUACUACACAAGCAAAACAAGCCCACAGAGUUGUAGGCAGAGAGGGGCUUGCUGGCCGACUAGGGAGGAGUGUCACUUUCCCAGUCCCAGGGAGGGGUGGAAGACAAGCACUAAUGUUUAUUGAGCACCUACUGUGUGCCAGACACUUGGCACAUGUCAUCUUAUUUAAUACAGUUCAAGUAUCAUCCCCAUUUUGCAGAUGAGGAAACAGAGGCUCAGAGAGGCCUGAUAAUGCACUCAGUUAAAGGACUCACUCCAAGGUCUUCCCAUUGCACUUCACUGCCUCCCUGGAAAAUGUCCAGGUUUGGUUUCCUCUCUUCUUUCCCAAUCCUGCAGAAUCAAAUCCAAAGGCGUGUUCAUGACUUUGCAGCUCUAUUGACUCUUUUUGUUUCUUUCUAAGACGUCUAUUUGUAAGAAAUAAAAUUGUUGGGCUCAGCAGCAGGACAAUAACUAUAAAGAAAUCUGCCAUUAGCAGCACAGACUUUAGCUCCCAGCAUUACUGUAUAUUCAAAGUAGAUUCCCAAAACAUCAUUUGACACAAACAGUCAUUCCAAAAGGACUCCAUUUGCCUCCUUCCUCCUGCCCCGCCUCAGGCACGCCUGACCAAGGUCGAAUGAAGAAGAGGAAAGGAGGUGAGAGAAGACUCCAAGCAGCCAGGGGCAGCUGAGAAGGAACUAGGCUGCCCUGCUAGGAGAUGGCAGCAGUCCCCUGAUUCAGGGGACAGAUAAGCUGAUUCUUCCCACCCCAUCCCCUUCCUGACCUGAUAGAUGGGGAAACUGAGUUUCAGAGAGGAGCAGCGACUGGCCAGUGAUGGGAUUAGAUCCCAAACCCUUUGACUCCCAGCCCACAGUGAUCUUCCAACACAACAUGCAGCUUCGUCAGAGGCCAAGAAAUCCAUUUAUAAGGAAAUUUUGUAUGUGCAUUUCAUUUGUAUGAUUUAAUUUUUUUACCUCAAAAAGAAUUAUAAUAUAUAGCUUUCAAUGCAAAUGGGAAAAGCUUACACAUCUUCAUAUAAAGAGAAGGAAUAUCCAAAAAGUAACAAGAAUGUUCCUAGUGCUGUCUUUCAUAGUAAAUUUGCAUGAUUGUACACCACACUCCAGCCACAAUGAUCUUUUUCUUAGUUCCUCAAAGCCCCCAGCCUUGUUCCUACCUGAGGACCUUUUCAUUUGAUAUUCCCUCUGCCCAGAACUCAUUUCCCUAGGCUUACAUGGCUGGAUUUCUCUUGUCACUGAGAUCUCAACUCAAAUGUCACCCCCUCUCAACAGUCUUCCCUGACCACCCUCCUUCAGGUAACCAUGCUGUCAAUCCCCAUAACAAUGGGUGUCAACCCUGGGCACGGUCACUUCCACCUGCAUGGCUUAAAAUACAGAUUGCUGAGCUCCGUCCCCCACAGUUUCUAAUUUAAUAGGCCUGGGGUGAGUCCUGAGAAUUUACAUUUCUAACAUGAUCCAAGAUUGUGCUGAUGAUAUUGGUCCAGGAAUCACUUUGAGAGCCACCGCCCUACAACAUCACCCUGUUUUAUUGUCUUCGUGGUGUUUAUCACAAUCUGAAAUUAUCUUAGGCAUCUAUUCAGUUUCUUUAUUAUGGCUUGCCUUUUUUACUGAUUAGGAGCUCCUGAGAGAAGGGUGACUGUCUGUCUUGUUUAUUGCAGUAUCUCCAGGACUCAGAAGAGAACCAGCCUCCUGGAAGCUAUCCCUUAUUCAGUGAAGUCUCCUGGAAGCUAUCUCUUAUUCAAUGAAGUCUUCAGUCCCAGCUGAAUGACUUCAUCGUUAGUGACUGCAGAAGACAGGUCAACUGCUGAUAGCCAGCACAUACGCACCAAUGUACCAGGUGGAGAAUAACUACUCUCUGUCCCAGGCCCCCAGGGGCAGGACAGAAAUUGCUGAUAUAGCUGCAACCUCAGUGAUCUUGCCUGCCUUAUGAAUUUCACUCCUACUAUCAAUUGUUUAAAUAGUGAGCAAGAAAAAUGACUCUCGAAGUAAAACAAUUUGGCAAAAGCAACUCAUGGUCUUUAGCUAUCUCCGAAGAAGCAGAGUCAACCCCUGCACCACUGAGAUGCAUCACAGUAGGGGUUCCCGGAGGACGCAAAAUGCAACUCUUAUCUACAAUUUGGGACCCUUAUUUCUGCCUGAAGUUCUUUCUAUUCAUCUCAAGGAGCAUCACAACAUUCAUGUAACUGUGAUUAAUCAAGUAUAUGUGGAAGUAAAUCUACCCAGCUCCCCAGCUCUGUGUUUCUCUUGCCCUGAGAGAGAGCCUACCAUCUUCCUCAAUGAACUCAGAGUAUAGUCCAUCAUCCAACAGACAGCCUUCCACUAAGGAUACCCAGGGGUUCCCAAGGCAUUCUGUACAACACUUCUCUCUAGUGGUCAGAGUAGGCUAACUGAUAUGAUAGACAACACCCAAAGUCUCAGUGGCAUAACACAAGGAAGUUUGUUUCUCAUAUCACAGUACAACACAGGUCGGUUGGGGAAGUGGACAUUUCUACUCCAUACAGUCAUUCAGGGACCCAAGCCCUUUCCAUCUUGUGGUUCCACCCUCCCCUAAAUACUUGAAGUUCUCUCCAUUUUGACAUCAGAUGAUGAAAGAGAUAGAAUGUUGAGAAUUGCAUGGGUGAUUUUUAUGGUCCACAUUGGGAAUUGGUCUAAUUGCUUCUGCCCACAUUUCACAGGUCAGAACUCAGUCACACAAUCUCAUCUCAUUGCAAACAAGUCUGGGAAAUGUAGUCUAGCUGCAUGCCCAUGAGGAAAAGGAAUGGGGCUUGGUAAAUAAAGGAAUGCCACUGACCCCUAGCAGUGUGUGGUGGUGGUGGUGUCGGGUCCUGUCUCCUCUGGGAUGUGAGCUCUUCAAAAGCAGAAAUUGAUUUUAUUUUUGACUCUCUGACUGAUGAACACCAGUCUAUGAACCCAGGCUGAACGGUCCAGAAGGUAUCAUCUCAGAGGUGGAGCUGAAGUCACAGCUGACCACACUGCCCAACUAGCUGCCAGGCACCUGGCACACACAGGCAGAUUUUGACAAAGGCCAUCAGCUGGGAGCCUGACAACCACAGCAGACCCAGAGAGUUUCAGGCACAGAGGCAGGGAGAACCUAGAAGAACCCUAAGCCAAGAAAAUAGCUUUCUCCCAGAGCACAGAGAUUUCUGGGAAGGGCACCAACCCAGCUUGGACUUAGGGUUUAUAAAGGACUGCCUCACUCAUCAAUGUGUUAAUUCUCAUCACAAAAGAGAUCAGGCCUUAACAUACCUACUUUACAGAUGUGGGAAUAGAGGAGCUUUCCCCAAGUCUAACAGCACUAGAACCGAAGUCUCCUAGCUAAGGAACUGCAUGAACCUACCAGACUAUUCUCUAUGCUGAUCACCCAUGAGCAUUCAAGGAAACAUCCCUUAGGGACCUUUGGGAACCUGAGAAGCCCAUACCUCCUCUGGAAGUAUUCCGUGCUGUCUCUCGCUCUGUGUAACCAGGUGACCACGUACGCCUGGCAAUGAGUUACAUCACCCAGAUGUGUUUUGAGGAAUCUGUUUGUUUUCAAAAUUGACUUAAAUAAGGAAUGUUUAAACAUGUUUCUUGUUUUUAAUGCAGGUCCUUAUUUUAAGUCAUGUUUAAAAAUCAAAAAAUUUCACAUAAAAAUAUAAAGCUGUGGGCUUUUCUUUUAAAAAAAAAAAAAUCUCAGGAGGCCCAGCUACCCUGAGUCUGAUUCCCACAAGGCGACGCUCACCCAGAGCUGAGUAGGCGCUGUUCCCAGAGACAAGAUAUGUGUCCUCCAGGUCCCCACAACCCCCAC
rnacentral:lncRNA from 10 species